ensembl:lncRNA
AAUUUUUUCAGACAAGCUGUUAGUACAACCAUAACUAUACAGGAAGUUUUAUUAUGUAGUGGGUAAUUCUCUUAAUAGAUCACAAAACACCGGCACUAUACACACACUGUUUUAAUCACUUGAGUUAGCAAAAAUGGUGUCUAGCAUACAACUCUGGACUAUAGUCGCCUCUGUAAGGACACCUGUAAAUAAAACAGUAUCCAUAGUGUGCAGUAUGUUGUUUUUUCUAAGAAAACUGGAUAACUGGAGUAUAAGAGGAAGAAGUGACAGGCCCCCAAAAAACCUCUCCACAGCAAGUCAUGGCCUAAUGGUGCAGGCUUCAAGCGAGUGGCCA